AGAGUUUGAUCCUGGCUCAGGACGAACGCUGGCGGCGUGCCUAAUACAUGCAAGUCGAGCGGACAGAUGGGAGCUUGCUCCCUGAUGUUAGCGGCGGACGGGUGAGUAACACGUGGGUAACCUGCCUGUAAGACUGGGAUAACUCCGGGAAACCGGGGCUAAUACCGGAUGGUUGUUUGAACCGCAUGGUUCAAACAUAAAAGGUGGCUUCGGCUACCACUUACAGAUGGACCCGCGGCGCAUUAGCUAGUUGGUGAGGUAACGGCUCACCAAGGCGACGAUGCGUAGCCGACCUGAGAGGGUGAUCGGCCACACUGGGACUGAGACACGGCCCAGACUCCUACGGGAGGCAGCAGUAGGAAAUCUUCCGCAAUGGACGAAAGUCUGACGGAGCAACGCCGCGUGAGUGAUGAAGGUUUUCGGAUCGUAAAGCUCUGUUGUUAGGGAAGAACAAGUGCCGUUCGAAUAGGGCGGUACCUUGACGGUACCUAACCAGAAAGCCACGGCUAACUACGUGCCAGCAGCCGCGGUAAUACGUAGGUGGCAAGCGUUGUCCGGAAUUAUUGGGCGUAAAGGGCUCGCAGGCGGUUUCUUAAGUCUGAUGUGAAAGCCCCCGGCUCAACCGGGGAGGGUCAUUGGAAACUGGGGAACUUGAGUGCAGAAGAGGAGAGUGGAAUUCCACGUGUAGCGGUGAAAUGCGUAGAGAUGUGGAGGAACACCAGUGGCGAAGGCGACUCUCUGGUCUGUAACUGACGCUGAGGAGCGAAAGCGUGGGGAGCGAACAGGAUUAGAUACCCUGGUAGUCCACGCCGUAAACGAUGAGUGCUAAGUGUUAGGGGGUUUCCGCCCCUUAGUGCUGCAGCUAACGCAUUAAGCACUCCGCCUGGGGAGUACGGUCGCAAGACUGAAACUCAAAGGAAUUGACGGGGGCCCGCACAAGCGGUGGAGCAUGUGGUUUAAUUCGAAGCAACGCGAAGAACCUUACCAGGUCUUGACAUCCUCUGACAAUCCUAGAGAUAGGACGUCCCCUUCGGGGGCAGAGUGACAGGUGGUGCAUGGUUGUCGUCAGCUCGUGUCGUGAGAUGUUGGGUUAAGUCCCGCAACGAGCGCAACCCUUGAUCUUAGUUGCCAGCAUUCAGUUGGGCACUCUAAGGUGACUGCCGGUGACAAACCGGAGGAAGGUGGGGAUGACGUCAAAUCAUCAUGCCCCUUAUGACCUGGGCUACACACGUGCUACAAUGGACAGAACAAAGGGCAGCGAAACCGCGAGGUUAAGCCAAUCCCACAAAUCUGUUCUCAGUUCGGAUCGCAGUCUGCAACUCGACUGCGUGAAGCUGGAAUCGCUAGUAAUCGCGGAUCAGCAUGCCGCGGUGAAUACGUUCCCGAGCCUUGUACACACCGCCCGUCACACCACGAGAGUUUGUAACACCCGAAGUCGGUGAGGUAACCUUUUAGGAGCCAGCCGCCGAAGGUGGGACAGAUGAUUGGGGUGAAGUCGUAACAAGGUA
rnacentral:rRNA from 1 species